rnacentral:rRNA from 1 species
GACGAACGCUGGCGGCGUGCCUAAUACAUGCAAGUUGAGCGAUGAAGAUUGGUGCUUGCACCAAUUUGAAGAGCAGCGAACGGGUGAGUAACGCGUGGGGAAUCUGCCUUUGAGCGGGGGACAACAUUUGGAAACGAAUGCUAAUACCGCAUAACAACUUUAAACAUAAGUUUUAAGUUUGAAAGAUGCAAUUGCAUCACUCAAAGAUGAUCCCGCGUUGUAUUAGCUAGUUGGUGAGGUAAAGGCUCACCAAGGCGAUGAUACAUAGCCGACCUGAGAGGGUGCUCGGCCACAGUGGGACUGAGACACGGCCCAAACUCCUACGGGAGGCAGCAGUAGGGAAUCUUCGGCAAUGGACGAAAGUCUGACCGAGCAACGCCGCGUGAGUGAAGAAGGUUUUCGGAUCGUAAAACUCUGUUGGUAGAGAAGAACGUUGGUGAGAGUGGAAAGCUCAUCAAGUGACGGUAACUACCCAGAAAGGGACGGCUAACUACGUG